rnacentral:rRNA from 1 species
ACUCCUACGGGAGGCAGCAGUGGGGAAUAUUGCACAAUGGGCGCAAGCCUGAUGCAGCCAUGCCGCGUGUAUGAAGAAGGCCUUCGGGUUGUAAAGUACUUUCAGCGGGGAGGAAGGCAAUACGGUUAAUAACCGUGUUGAUUGACGUUACCCGCAGAAGAAGCACCGGCUAACUCCGUGCCAGCAGCCGCGGUAAUACGGAGGGUGCAAGCGUUAAUCGGAAUUACUGGGCGUAAAGCGCACGCAGGCGGUCUGUCAAGUCGGAUGUGAAAUCCCCGGGCUCAACCUGGGAACUGCAUUCGAAACUGGCAGGCUUGAGUCUUGUAGAGGGGGGUAGAAUUCCAGGUGUAGCGGUGAAAUGCGUAGAGAUCUGGAGGAAUACCGGUGGCGAAGGCGGCCCCCUGGACAAAGACUGACGCUCAGGUGCGAAAGCGUGGGGAGCAAACAGGAUUAGAAACCCCUGUAGUCCC